UGGGGAAUUUUGGACAAUGGGCGAAAGCCUGAUCCAGCAAUGCCGCGUGUGUGAAGAAGGCCUUCGGGUUGUAAAGCACUUUUGUCCGGAAAGAAAUCCUUGGCUCUAAUACAGUCGGGGGAUGACGGUACCGGAAGAAUAAGCACCGGCUAACUACGUGCCAGCAGCCGCGGUAAUACGUAGGGUGCAAGCGUUAAUCGGAAUUACUGGGCGUAAAGCGUGCGCAGGCAGUUUGCUAAGACCGAUGUGAAAUCCCCGGGCUCAACCUGGGAACUGCAUUGGUGACUGGCAGGCUAGAGUAUGGCAGAGGGGGGUAGAAUUCCGCGUGUAGCAGUGAAAUGCGUAGAGAUGUGGAGGAAUACCGAUGGCGAAGGCAGCCCCCUGGGCCAAUACUGACGCUCAUGCACG
rnacentral:rRNA from 1 species